UUGGAUAUCGCAUCGACGCUCUCCCCCUCAGCACACAUACCUCGCAAAACCUCUCUCCCUUUACACCUUCUUCUCGGCACAUACACACACUCAACAAUCUGUUCCCUAAAUCCUCCAUUUCUCCUAUUUUCUUCUUUGCUCGACUACCCUGUAACUUGAACGCACGACGGCUUUAUCUUCUUCACGAGAUGGACCUAGAGGAUGACACGGUGAUUUUGGGCUUGAUUUGUGAUAAGUUCAAAAACUCCUUUUGCUGCUGAUUCUAGGUAGCAUAUGCGUUGAUCCUCCAUUCUUCUAUUUUCUUCUUUGCUGGAUUGCCUUCGAACCUGACUCCCUUCUAACCUGGAAGCAUGACGGCUUCAUCAUCUUUACGAGACGCACCUAGAGGAUGGCAUGGGGAGAGUUUGGGAAAUGGGUAGCCUUUAUUGCUGUCGUCUUACGGCUUUUCUUUUUGAGACAUUUCCCUGGGUAUGCCUUCUCUAUAUCCACCCUUACCUAAUGGAAACAAUAAUGGAUAUUGUAGUGGAAGGAAAUCAGGAUGAGUUUCCUUGAUCUUGUGUAGUUGCCCUCACUUAUACGGAACUUCUAUGUCCCUGCCACAAUUUGAAUCUCCAAUAUCUCCAACAAUAAGUGCAGCUACUUCAUUUUGUGCCAAGGCAUAUUAUACUAACAUGUGCCAGUUCCUUAUUUAUGUAUGAGCUUAAUUCUUAUCUCGUCUUUCAUUUUUGUUGAUGAAAUCACGAGCUAUGCGGAAAGUUCGAACCAAACGGUUGUGUCUGUCCAGCAUAUUUUGAACAGUGUGCACAAUAUCAAUAUCCACUCGUGGCAUAGUGCCAUCCUAUGUACUGAAACAAAUUAAAAAGCAAUGCAUAUUGCACAUAGUCAGUUUAUAAUAAAGCUGAAUAUAUUCAUGGACUCAA